UGGGCCAGGAGGACCCCUGCGUGUGGGCGGCAACAGAGCACGCCUGGGCGGAGGCAGCGCCUACCCUACUUGCUUGGCUACUACAGUGAUGCAUGCACCGGUGAAGCACGCACACAUGCUUGCCUGGCCGCAUGUAUCUUCAUUGCUGCGAACAUCAUCUAGAUGACAAGCUACAAGCUCCCAACGCGUCUGAUCCAGGGUGCAUUAGGGCCAACCUGUUAUGGAAGAUGGCCAUGCUCACGAGCCCCUCUGGAUCAAAAUAGGUAUUCCUUUCUGCCUCUUUGGAUUCACUCAUAUUUUGCCUCCUGGAUUUGUCCUAUGGUACUAUAAUUGUAAAGUCUGGUCCUAAUUUACUUUCUGUGAUUUCGAGGCUUUAUUAAGCCCUUGGUGUUGAUUGAGCGUUUGCUCCUCUAAUGUUCAUGAAGUCCAUUGUUAUAUACCUCUCAUUGUAGGAUGGCAAAUUGUGGCAGCUGGAGCAUGUCUCAUAAGAGAGAGCAAAUUGUGGCAGCUGGUUCCGUCAAAAGAAAAGUACAUUGUACUGUUAUGAUAGUAGCAGAUGUUUCGUCAUUUUCUUAUUGUAUAUUCCCUUUGUUCCUGCUAUAUUCCUGUGUAAGGAAAUGUAUUCCUGAGAUGAUUUUUUUGUGUUAUGUAAACCUGGGAGAUGUGUUAUGUGAUGUGAUAUGAUGGUUGACUUGAAUUUGACCUGGAGUUUUCCUAAUUUGAAUGAAAUAAUGUUGGAUGUA